AGAGUUUGAUCCUGGCUCAGGAUGUACGCUAGUUACAGGCUUGACACAUGCAAGUCUAGGGGAAACGAUAUUGGAAGCUUGCUUCCGAUAGGCGUCGACCGGCGCACGGGUGAGUAACGCGUAUCCAACCUGCCCAUCACUUGGGAAUAACCUUGCGAAAGUAAGACUAAUGCCCAAUGACAUUUAUAGAAGGCAUCUGAAAUGAAUUAAAGAUUUAUCGGUGAUGGAUGGGGAUGCGUCUGAUUAGCUUGUUGGCGGGGUAACGGCCCACCAAGGCGACGAUCAGUAGGGGUUCUGAGAGGAAGGUCCCCCACAUUGGAACUGAGACACGGUCCAAACUCCUACGGGAGGCAGCAGUGAGGAAUAUUGGUCAAUGGGCGAGAGCCUGAACCAGCCAAGUAGCGUGCAGGAAGACGGCCCUAUGGGUUGUAAACUGCUUUUAUAGGGGAAUAAAGUGAGCCACGUGUGGUUUUUUGCAUGUACCCUAUGAAUAAGGACCGGCUAAUUCCGUGCCAGCAGCCGCGGUAAUACGGAAGGUCCGGGCGUUAUCCGGAUUUAUUGGGUUUAAAGGGAGCGUAGGCCGGAGAUUAAGCGUGUUGUGAAAUGUAGACGCUCAACGUCUGCACUGCAGCGCGAACUGGUUUCCUUGAGUACGCAUAAAGUGGGCGGAAUUCGUGGUGUAGCGGUGAAAUGCUUAGAUAUCACGAAGAACUCCGAUUGCGAAGGCAGCUCACUGGGGCGCAACUGACGCUGAAGCUCGAAAGCGCGGGUAUCGAACAGGAUUAGAUACCCUGGUAGUCCGCACGGUAAACGAUGGAUGCCCGCUGUUGGGCCAACUGGUUCAGCGGCC
rnacentral:rRNA from 1 species